rfam:Triticum aestivum genome assembly, contig: Triticum_aestivum_CS42_TGACv1_scaffold_328195_4BS
UGGUGGCAUUCAAAGGACAACAUGUCUACCUGAUACAAUCUUCCUAAAGUAAAAUUUUCAUUUCCUGCUUGUGGUAUCGUUAGGAAGUUCUGCAAGUCUCAAAUGAGAAAACAUCCAU